GUGGGGAAUAUUGGACAAUGGGCGAAAGCCUGAUCCAGCAAUACCGCGUGUGUGAAGAAGGCCUGAGGGUUGUAAAGCACUUUCAAUAGGAAGGAAUACCUGCCGGUUAAUACCCGGCAGACUGACAUUACCUAUACAAGAAGCACCGGCUAACUCCGUGCCAGCAGCCGCGGUAAUACGGAGGGUGCAAGCGUUAAUCGGAAUUACUGGGCGUAAAGCGUGCGUAGGCGGCUUAUUAAGUCAGAUGUGAAAGCCCUGGGCUUAACCUGGGAACUGCAUUUGAAACUGGUAAGCUAGAGUUGAGUAGAGGAGAGUGGAAUUUCAGGUGUAGCGGUGAAAUGCGUAGAGAUCUGAAGGAACACCAGUGGCGAAGGCGGCUCUCUGGACUCAAACUGACGCUGAGGUACGAAAGCGUGGGUAGCAAACAGGAUUAGAAACCCUAGUAGUCC
rnacentral:rRNA from 1 species